GAGCUCGGCGCGACCCUCGGGCCCACCGGGCCACGCUCGCCCGGCCCGCGACGCCCCCCCGCUGUCGCCUGGCCCGCGACGCACCGAGGCCUGAGGACCCGAAAGCCGGGCGCGGGGAGAUGACCGGUGGCUCGUGACGGUCCCACGGGCAAAAUCUUCCAUCGCCCGGGGCUGAGACUUGUCAAACUGCCCUCUACGGUCACCCGGAAAGUAGGAGGCUUUUUCUGCAGAGGGGAAAAAAAUCAAAAAGAGCCGUUCCAUCCCCCCUCCAAGGACUGGGUUUGAAUUGCUUUUCAUCUGCAGUGGCUGUGAUUCAGCGUCCCUCUUAGCAGCAGGCAAUGACAGAGGCAGGAGAGGGGAAAAAAAAAAAGAAAGAAAGAAAAAACACAGCAAAUGAAUCAAACGGACGUAGCAGGCAAGAGUGUGGUUAUCGUUGGACCAGGAUUCAGGAUCUGACUGAGUAGCUGACUCUUAAUCCAGUUUGUGUUGAUCACCAGGAGGAUCUGGACCUCAGUAUUACCACAUCUAGAGGUGAUAUGCCAACUCCACCUUUGCCUUCCACCAUGUUUGGAAGCUCCCUGAGGCCUCACCAGGAGCAGAUGCUCGUCCCAUGCUUCCUAUAAGCCUGCAGAACUGUGAGCCAUAAUAAACUGUGAAUUAUAAAUUGCCUUUAUAGCAAUGCAAAUGGACCAGUACAGAUGGGAUGCUGGGAAGACAGUUGUUUCCACCUUCAGUAAAGUCCGUGGAACACAGUUGUGACUAUAUUCUAGGCCAGCCAAGAUGCUUGUACUCAGAAAGGAGUGGUCUCAGGACCAUAAGAAAGUGAAAAAAUAAAAAUAAGAAAAUAAAGAAGGGAUUGUCAAUGAAUCAGAAUUCAUCAAGGUCAAAGUCUUAGGAAAUUCCUUCAUGAGGAAGUCUAGGGGGGCUAUGGAAAUGAAAUUUUUAAACAAAUAGGUAUGUGGUGCUGGCAGGAAUAAAUUAUGGACUUAUGAAUAUAACAUAAGAUUCUUUAUUACCUGGUCUCACCCGUCUUUCCACCUCUGCCCCCCUUCUUGCCCGACUCUGUGUAUCACCCAUAAUAAACUACUUACAGCUUCCUAGUGUUAAAUUUACCCUAAAGCUGCCUCCUUCAAUAUUUUAAGUUUAACCUAAAGGUUCUUCAUACAUAGUGAACUAUAACCCAAUGAUUAAACAGAUUGUAACCUACUCUUGUACCAGUCACCAAGUUUCAGCCAAUCAGAGGUGGCCAACUGUUCAAACCAUGCUCAAAUAAGGGAAAUGUCAUGGUGUAACUAAUCCAGCUGUUUCUAUACCUUACUUCUGUUUUCUUAGGUCACUUUCCUUUUUUGUCCAUAAAUUCUCUCCAACCACUCAGCAGCACUGGAGUCACUCCAAAGCUAUCCUGGUUCAGGGGUCUGUCUGAUUCACAAGUCAUUCUUUGUUCAAUUGAGCUCUGCUAAAUUUAAUUUGUCUGAAGUUUUUCUUUUAACAGAUGGUGUCAGAAAUGGACCCCAAAGUAGAGCUCCCAGUGAUCCCCCAGGAGCACUGAGUGACCACAAGGGGUACCUGCUGGGCCCGUCCUCUCGCAGUGUCCACUGCUCUCUUACAGCAACUGGAGAUUGUGGCUGCAUUCUCUCUCAGAUUCUGAAGCUCCAUACAUUGCCGUUUUCAGCUGUUCAAGCUUGCUUGAGCAAAUUUUUGAUCUUAGCUGAGUUUGGAAGUCGAUAGACAUUGGACUGGGUCCAGGAUUUGAUUGGAUCUGAUAAUUAACUGGCUUGGAUCCAGUUAGAUGCCUCGGUUAUCUGACUGGGUCAGAUAGAAACCGCCAGUAAAUAUUUUAAUAACAAUACUGCAGGGGUAUGAACUCUGGCUUUAAGAAACUCACAAGGAAUUUUAUGUUCUAUACCCUUUGUUUCUUUUUCUUGUGUGCUUCGGUCAGGAAAAAUCAUUAGUCAAGUUAAUCAAGGGGAUCUGAGAGCCAAAUACAAGAUUCAACGUAAAAAUGGAAUCCUUGGGCUAGGCGUGGUGGCUCAGGCCUGUAAUCCCAGGACUUUGGGAGGCUGAGGCAGGCGGAUCACCUGACCUUAGGAGUUCGAGACCAGUCUGGCCAACAUGGUGAAACCCCGUCUCCACUAAAAAUACAAAAAUUAGCCAGGCGUGGUGGUGGGCACCUGUAAUCCCAGCUACUUUGGAGGCUGAGGCAGGAUAAUCACUUGAACCCAGGAGGCAGAGGUUGCAGUGAUCUGAGAUUGCACCACUGCACUCCAGCCUGGGCAAAAGAGCGAGACUCCAUCUCAUAAAUAAAUACAUAAAUAAAUAAAGAAAUCCUUAAUUUCUGCGGAACUGAGUGCUCUACCUUCUGGCUACACCUACGUAUACCUGUAUGAGGUAUAGGCCCUGGAAGCAGCAAACACUUACAGAAAUGGUGAAAUCUUACUAAAGGUAAUCUAAAGUUAUGGUGGAACAUCCCAAAUGAACAACACUGCACUUUAGGAAGUACAUAUAAAAAUGAAGUCUCCCAAUUUAGUAUUAUUCAGGGAUGGCUGUUGAAGUUCAGAAGCUUCUAAAAAGAUUCCAAUAAUUUUACAGAUUCUUUUAAAAGAUUCUUUGUAAAAGGCAAAUAAAAAGCUUAAGUGACUAAUCAGAAAAAUUAGGUCUUCUAACCUUUUGUCAUUGUUACUGUCUUGCCCUGAAAGGGAAAAGAAAGCUGGAUAAAGUAUUUAUAGAAGAUAGAGGACCUGUGGUGGCUCAUGCCUGUAAUCCAAGGUGGAAGGAUUGCUUGAGGCCAGAAGUUCAAGACCAGUCCAAGCAACAUAGCAAGGCCCCAUCUCUACAAAAAAUGAAAAUAAAAUUAGCCGAGCGUGAUGGCUCAUGCCUGUAGUUCUAGCUUCUAGAGAGGCUGAGGCAGGAGGAUUGCUUGAGUCCAGGAGUUCAAGAUUACAGUGAGCUAUGGUCACACCACUGCACUCCAGCCUGGGUGAUGGAGUGAGACUGUCUCAAUAAAAAGACAAAAAGGUAAGCCCUUAGGUAAAGUAAGCUUGCUUCUUUGUUAGAGCUAUCCAUGCUGAGUCCAGGCAAAGAAAAUGCUUUCUUUGGCCUGGUGCGGUGGCUCAUGCCUGUAAUCCCAACACUUUUGGAGGCCAAGGUGGGCAGAUCACAAGGUCAAGAGUUCAAGAUGAGCCUGACCAACAUGGUGAAGCCCCAUCUCUACUAAAAAUACAAAAAUUAGCCAGGUGUGGUGGUGCGCACCUGUAAUCCCAGCUAUUCAGGAGGCUGAGGCAAGAGAAUCACUUGAACCCAGGAGGCAGAGGUUGCAGUGAGCUGAGAUUGCACCUUUGCACUCUCACUCUGGCCUGGGCAAUAGAGCAAGACUCCAUCUCAAAAAAAAAAAAAAAAGAAAAAAGAAAAUGCUUUCUUUGCACAGUUCAGUAAUGAGCUCUGCCCCGAACUCAGUAAUUUUAGCAAAGAAACAGUAGCUAAGUUAAGAAGACCGCCUAUUGAACUAAGUUGGUCUCCAAAAUGUACCUUUCUGGCAUUUAGAUGGCUACUUUGAAACCCUUUUGUAAAUGAAAUUUACAUCUAUAAAGGAAAUCGCCAUCUGUAAGGGCAUCUACACUGAGAAGAGGGUGGACUGGGUCACUAGAAACUCUUACCACUGAUCUAACAUAAAUCUUACCAUUGUUUAAGGUGCUUUUCCUUGCCAUCUUGUCUUAACCGGGCCUUUACCGACACUUUUCUUCCUUGGUUUAGGGAACCAGUGGUACAGUAUUUAGGCCCAAAGUCUCAGCUCUGUGCUUUUGAGAUAUGAAUUUUUCACCGUGUUCCACCUAAUAGCAUCCCUUUAGAAGUACAAAUUUAGGGCCGGGCGCGGUGGCUCACGCCUGUAAUCCCAGCACUUUGGGAGGCCGAG
rnacentral:lncRNA from 10 species